ACAGGGUUAUUCCUGAUUGGUUGAAUAAAGAUGCCUACAGCCGAUAGCUGGGCAGAAUUGAGAUAGGCGGGGUUUAGGGUUUGGGGGCUUGGGGUCUGGGGAUAACCACAAGGAGGAGAGAGAGGGUUGGAGAGAGGAGAAGAUACCAUGGGUAAGAAUCUUGAAAUUAGGGCAACGAAGGCUGGCCAAUUGGAGCUAAGAGCAGCCCAGACGGUGGAACGUGACAAGUCCUGUUGUGGAGUUAUGGCAGGGAAAUAGACAUAAUAGAUGGAAGAUAGAUAUCUAGUGCUGACUAAGGCUUACGAAGGUUGUAUGUGUCUUUUAUCUGGGAACUGAAUGGCUGAGGCAGGGUAGAAACCCCAGAUUGAGACUAAGUAUUUUCUACAACACAAUCCAUUUGGAAUUUUAAUAAGAGACUUGAGAUGACUGGUGCCCCAUUUAUUUCCAGGCUCCUUCUGGGUAGUAACUCUGAUGUCAGCCAUCAUAGAUUCCUUGGCCAUUCUGCUCCUGCUGGUUACUGUUGGCUCUCACAUCACUGAUACUAAUAACCAAAUGGUAGUUCAUGUCUGGACACCAUGAAAAUGAUGGUUAUUAGAUUCCAUAUGAAUAAGUACUUAUCAUACAGUCAAGGAUUUGACCCAGGAUACAACUUACGGAGGGAAUUUAAGUUAACCUGUGAGCUGCACUGGCCCAAGCACCAAAUAACUCCCUGGAAUGCUGGGAGAUGUAGUUCUUGAAAAACAAAGCCACAUGGGAAAAUACAAUGGCCAUAUGAUUUUGCCCUAAAAUGCCAUACAGCAUUGUUUCCACUUAGCUGGGAAUUCUAGAGGGUGGUCUUAACCAAAGUCCACCCUAAUAACUAUUUAAUUAAAGCUUGCUUCGAAUUUGGUUCAAAAUUAUGGUUUUUCUCUUGUGAAUUUCAAGAUUAACACAAUUUUCUACAAAGAUAAAGUCUCUUUCCCUAAACAGCGUGCAUAUCCCUCCGGUUUAGAUCUUUGGUGAACUGUACCUUUUGGACUUGAGUAGAGGGCUCUGGAAAUCCUCUCCUUUCCUACGCAGCAAGGAUGACUUUGAACUCCUGAUUAUCAUGCCUUCUGGGCCAAAAGCUGAGAUUAUAAACUCUCGCCACCAACCUAACCUUUUGUUUUUCUUUUCUUUUUCCACAGGAUCUUGCUAUACACUCUUGGCUGGCCUACACUCCUCCUUCCCUUGCCUCUGAAGCAAUGUGAUUAUUGGUCGGUCACUGUGGCCAUCAAUAAGUUCGUUUUAUUAAUGUUUUUCCCAUUGCAGUUCACCAUAACCCUUCAGGAAUCAAGCCAUUGAAACCCAGAUGCGGAAUGACUUGUCCCGAGGCACAAACCUGUGUUCGAGCAAUCCCUGAGACUUCCAGUAUGUCCCUUUAAGAGGAAGGUUUGUCCUUGGCAACUGGUACUCAGAUAGGGCUCUGGGGAAACCCUAGGGGAAAAAAAAGGAACAAGACUGGGGGAGGGGAAGACUGGCCAGUGGGUGACUUUGAUAACCAGAGCAAGGCAGGACUAUAGGCCAAGGAUCUGUAACUUCAGCUUGACGAGAUGGGAUCUUUUGGGUCAAGAUACAAGACUUAGGGUCCAUGAAGCUGGUGGCUCUACUCAGCACAGGACUGGCCUGUGCAUGGUUCUGGUUUAAGGAAAGCCACAGCCAAUGGCUGUGGAAGGCUUAUCUUAGUAACCUGAAGUUUACUGAGCAUGCAAUCUGUGCUAAGCACUGUGUACCCUACAAGGUGGGUAGCCUGGGCGGUUGGUUAUCUGAGUAGGGAUCUCCAAAACUCCUGCCUAGUGUGUUCUUAGGAAGCAGGUGUGUCAGGCAAAACCAUAUGUCCUCUGCCUCGUAGAAACCAGCACACUGGAAAGACUCCACACCUCAGCGAUGACAUCUGAGAAUAUGGCCCAGAUUCAAAGGCGGCUUUGCCACCUACCACCUGGAUGUUUCUCUGCCUUUGUUUCCUCUUGUGUAAUGGGUCCAAUCCCCACCCUUGGGCUGUUGGGAAAGAACUGCCACAGGUCUGGCCUACUGGAUUUUGCAUACAGCCAGCUAGGUUGCACAGCUGGGAAUACCAGGGAAGUCUCCAGAAAGUUGACCAGCAACCACAGUGCUUGUUCAGCACCAGAGAUGAAACUAGAGGCAAACACUUGCUGCUUCAUGAGGUCAGAUGCCCCUCACAGGAGUACUGUCCCUGGAGUCCAGCUGUGGCUUGUUGACUGUCGCACUCCCUCACAGGAGGGUUGGGGAGGGGCCACUGGACACUCUGCAGAGCACUCACUCUUCCCGGCUAGCUGAGUGGAAUUCUGCUCAUUGUGACCUUGGGGUCGGAGUAUGUAGGCUUUGAAGGACUAAAAGGGGGGGGGCUCCCCAUCUAUGCCGUGAUGGGAAAGCCAGCGAGCAUGCUGGGGGUGUGUGUGGCUGCUUAGGGCCAUUACACUGCUCUCUGUAACACCUAUGGCUCUAUGAACAGCCUGAUAAUAAACUCAAUCUCCAGGGUGA